CAGUCGCCGCGGGAAUACAGAGGGUGCGAGCGUUAAUCGGAUUUACUGGGCGUAAAGCGUGCGUAGGCGGCUUCUUAAGUCGGAUGUGAAAUCCCUGAGCUUAACUUAGGAAUUGCAUUCGAUACUGGGAAGCUAGAGUAUGGGAGAGGAUGGUAGAAUUCCAGGUGUAGCGGUGAAAUGCGUAGAGAUCUGGAGGAAUACCGAUGGCGAAUGCAGCCAUCUGGCCUAAUACUGACGCUGAGGUACGAAAGCAUGGGGAGCAAACAGGAUUAGAUACCCCUGUAGUCCCUGUCUCUUAUAC
rnacentral:rRNA from 1 species